AUUGAACGCUGGCGGCAGGCCUAACACAUGCAAGUCGAGCGGAUGAAGGGAGCUUGCUCCUGGAUUCAGCGGCGGACGGGUGAGUAAUGCCUAGGAAUCUGCCUGGUAGUGGGGGAUAACGUCCGGAAACGGGCGCUAAUACCGCAUACGUCCUGAGGGAGAAAGUGGGGGAUCUUCGGACCUCACGCUAUCAGAUGAGCCUAGGUCGGAUUAGCUAGUUGGUGGGGUAAAGGCCUACCAAGGCGACGAUCCGUAACUGGUCUGAGAGGAUGAUCAGUCACACUGGAACUGAGACACGGUCCAGACUCCUACGGGAGGCAGCAGUGGGGAAUAUUGGACAAAGGGCGAAAGCCUGAUCCAGCCAUGCCGCGUGUGUGAAGAAGGUCUUCGGAUUGUAAAGCACUUUAAGUUGGGAGGAAGGGCAGUAAGUUAAUACCUUGCUGUAUUGACGUUACCAACAGAAUAAGCACCGGCUAACUUCGUG
rnacentral:rRNA from 1 species